rnacentral:tRNA from 1 species
GUGAACGUAGUUUAAUCAAAACUCUAGAUUGUGAUUCUAGAAAUGGGAACUUAUAUCUCCCUGUUCACC